UACGGGAGUGGCAAGCGUUAUCCGGAAUUAUUGGGCGUAAAGCGUCCGCAGGCGGUCUGUCAAGUCUGCUGUUAAAGCGUGGAGCUUAACUCCAUUAAGGCAGUGGAAACUGACAGACUAGAGUGUGGUAGGGGCAGAGGGAAUUCCCGGUGUAGCGGUGAAAUGCGUAGAUAUCGGGAAGAACACCAGUGGCGAAGGCGCUCUGCUGGGCCAUAACCGACGCUCAUGGACGAAAGCCAGGGGAGCGAAAGGGAUUAGAUACCCCUGUAGUCCUGGCCGUAAACGAUGAACACUAGGUGUCGGGGGAAUCGACCCCCUCGGUGUCGUAGCCAACGCGUUAAGUGUUCCGCCUGGGGAGUACGCACGCAAGUGUGAAACUCAAAGGAAUUGACGGGGGCCCGCACAAGCGGUGGAGUAUGUGGUUUAAUUCGAUGCAACGCGAAGAACCUUACCAGGGUUUGACAUCCUGCGAAUCUCUUGGAAACGAGAGAGUGCCUUCGGGAACGCAGUGACAGGUGGUGCAUGGCUGUCGUCAGCUCGUGUCGUGAGAUGUUGGGUUAAGUCCCGCAACGAGCGCAACCCACGUCGUUAGUUGCCAGCAUUUAGUUGGGCACUCUAGCGAGACCGCCGGUGAUAAACCGGAGGAAGGUGUGGAUGACGUCAAGUCAUCAUGCCCCUUACAUCCUGGGCUACACACGUACUACAAUGCUACGGACAAAGGGCAGCAAACUCGCGAGAGCUAGCAAAUCCCAUAAACCGUGGCUCAGUUCAGAUCGUAGGCUGCAACUCGCCUACGUGAAGGAGGAAUCGCUAGUAAUCGCAGGUCAGCAUACUGCGGUGAAUACGUUCCGCGGGCCU
rnacentral:rRNA from 1 species